rnacentral:tRNA from 1 species
GCCGAGGUGGCGGAAUUGGUAGACGCGCUAGCUUCAGGUGCUAGUGUCCGUAAGGACGUGGUGGUUCAAGUCCACUCCUCGGCACCA